UAUCGUCACUUUGCGCCAGUGCCUUCUUGACUUUUAGGUUUUGGCCAUCUUAGGUUUCCCCUUUUACAAGUUGACACAACUUACUUCUCUUCAAAACAAACCUGCGCACCAUCAAGAUCUGCCUUCUCCCCCAUCUUCUCUCUGGUCUCUCACACCUCCGGUCGACGGAGGAGGGAUUGCAGCGCCGGUAUACUCGGUCAGGCGAGACGCACACACCCCCAACACUCUUCUCCUUCCUAUGACACCCCCACCGCCUUCGUUUUCCUCUCUCUCGCACACUGUUUUCGGCCGGAGAGCGGCAGAGCGGACGGUGCUCCGGCAAUGGCGUAGCGGCGAUGGUGAAUUUGACGGUGGUUCAGUGACGGAGACCCUCCAAAUCGACCCUUCUGAACCUACUUCUGGUAGUCGCUGAAGGUAACAUGGCUCAAGUCAACAAACUCAGGUCGCCAAUUGGCUUCUUUCCGAUUUAACCACCAUCCUCAUCGGAUGAACCGACGGUAGCCACCCUCGACAACUUAGGUAAUAUAAUAUAAUCUAAUAGUCCAUUUGAUUAUGUUGAGACGGAGGCUCGAACAGAGAACUGUAUGAUGUACUUCAUGUGUCUCCUGAAGCUUCCAAUGAAGAAAUCCGUAAAGCUUAUCAUCAGUGGGCGCAAAUUUAUCAUCCUGAUAAGUAUCAGGAUCAACAGAUGAAGGAAGAUGAAGGAUGUAGGUACAGAGAACUUUCAGAGGAUAUAUGAAGCAUAUGAGAUAUUAACCGAAGAAUAUAAACGACAGAUAUAUGACAUGUAUGGUAUGGAAGGGUUAACCUCUGGUUUAGAACUUGGUCCAAAGUUGAACAAAGCGGAAGAACUUGAAAGAUUAAAACGCAAAAGAGAAGAAAAAAAAGCGGCCCAUUUUCAACCUUCUGGUGUAAUUCUUGCACAACCAUCAGUUCCAAGCUUUCUAUCCGGGCAUGGUAUAAUGAGAGCGUAUGACUCCUAAUUCUCGACUAAAUUUAAUUUUCAGGUUAAACUGACAAGUAUCUACAUUGACAUUGAUAUAGCUUCACUCCGGUGGUCACUGACGAACGACGGCGGUGGUAAAUCCGCUCGAAUCAACCACGACGUCCAUGAUUAGGGACGUAAUGUAUUAUGCAGCAUAAUAAAUUAAAGCAUACUUCAUCAGCCGCAACGCGGCGGGAUCAUCCUAGUUUCCUAAUAAAAGCAUUCACAUACCAUUCCUCUCUAUUUAAAAAAAUAGGCUAACACUGUGUUCCAGAGUUUACUAACGGAAGGAAAGGAAAGGAAACAGAAAGAAAGUAAAAAUAUUUUGUGUUCCAGAGUUUCAUUUAAGGAAGGAAAAGAAAGGAAAAUAAAAUAUGUCGUGUUCUCGAGUUUCAUUUAAGGAAGGAAAAGAAAGGAAAUGACAGGAAAACUAGGCUAAAUUCUUUAAUUUUUCUUUCCUUCCGAUUUGGGAGGAAGCGGUGGGAAAGUCAUCUUUUUUCUUCUUUCUCAUCAUUUCCUUUCUCACUUUUGCUUUCUUUUCUUAUCCCUCGUUAAGUUAACUCGGGAACAGAGCGUAAAAGUACGUUUUGCUGUUAAAUUUAUUUAUUUUUCAAAAACCUCCCACAUUCAAAUUUUCAUCUCUAUCUUACUCAAUACACCUUUUUGUUACCUCGUGUUUUUGUACAGUUAUAAUAAAAUAUAGAGUUUAAUAAAAUCCACUAAAUAUAGAAAUAUUAAAAAAAAAUCCAAUAUAGUGAUGUUUAUGUUGUUUCCUCUAUUUCUUAGGGCAUGUUUGGCUAAGCUUUUUGAAACAACUUAUUGACUUAUUGGUUUUUUGGAAAAGUCAGUAUGGAGUAGAGAUGGGCAUAAUACCCGGUUCCAAACCCGGACCCAUAGAACCGACCCGGAACCGGUUCCAAACAGUAAUAUUCAGCUUUUGGUUUGAAAGUACCCGACAGAAUCGGUUCCUGUCAGUACCCGGAAUACCCGGUUCCAAACUGUACCCGAACCUGGUUCGAAAAUACCCGUAACCGGUUACAUCGGUUCCGUUUUUUUAUACUUAUACCCGGGUUCAACCCGGACCGGUUCCUUAGUGUACCCGGUUUCGCUCAGUAACGUCAGUACCCGGGUACGGGUAGUACCCGGUUCCGGGUAUUCAGAAUACCCGAUUAUGCCCAUCUUUAGUAUGGAGUGACUUAGUGACUUAUUAGCAUUUUCCCCUCACAUACACUCUCAUUGCCAAACAUCAUUUUGGAGCUUAUGACUUUUCAAAAAGUCAAUAAAUUAUUUCAAAAAACUUAGCCAAACAUGCCCUUACUCUGUAUUAAUAUUAGUUAGGUAUAUAGGCCUUAAUGUAAUGCUCUUAUAUAUAAACCAGUAGAGCCAUAAAUACUAAAUGUAAAAAGAAGUGUUCUCGCUGUAGAACACCCUCCCCAUUAUAUAUUAUAUAAUUAUAUAACUGUUAUGAAUGCAUCAUAAUGUGGUGACUUUCCACAAAUAUGUAACCUCCAUAUAUUUAUUACCUUUGUAUUAAUGUUAAGCCUCUAUAAAUAGAGGUCUCAUGUAAUUGGUAUUAUAGAUCUCAAUGAAUACGAAUUCCAUAUUC